UACGGAGGGAGCUAGCGUUGUUCGGAAUUACUGGGCGUAAAGCGCGCGUAGGCGGCUUUGUAAGUUAGAGGUGAAAGCCCGGAGCUCAACUCCGGAACUGCCUUUAAAACUGCAUCGCUUGAAUCCAGGAGAGGUAAGUGGAAUUCCGAGUGUAGAGGUGAAAUUCGUAGAUAUUCGGAAGAACACCAGUGGCGAAGGCGGCUCACUGGACUGGUAUUGACGCUGAGGUGCGAAAGCGUGGGGAGCAAACAGG
rnacentral:rRNA from 1 species